AUGGCCGGGGACUUCAAUGAAAUUCUGCAUGCACACGAAAAAGAAGGGGGUGCAGCCCGAUCACAACGGUGCAUGCAAGCUUUUAGUGACACCCUACGUGACUAUAAUCUUGAUGAUUUGGGUUACUCAGGAGACAUAUUCAGUUGGCGCAGAGGUCGUAUUCGUGAGAGGCUGGAUAGGGCAAUGGGAAAUAGCUCUUGGGCCGACCUUUUCCCUUGCUUUGGAGUCUCAAAUGAACCGUUCAAUAAAUCUGAUCAUCGUCCUAUACUGAUCGACACUGACUAUCAGUUGGGGCUGCAGCCGAGGGGUCCAAUGAGACCAAGAAAAUUUGAAGCAAGAUGGCUUGCUGAAGAGGACGUGGACACUAUUGUGCAGGAGGCUUGGGAGAGGGCAAAAUCACUAGGCAUCGAGCCGUUCUCACAAGUGACUAGUGAUGUUCAUCUUGCCUUACACAGAUGGGACAAAGAAACUUUGAAAGGUCCACGGACGAGACUACGAGAACUCCAGAAAAAACUAAAUGAGGUAAUGUCGGGGCCGCUAUCGGAUGAGGCAGUUGCUCAACAACAUGACCUACAUCUGCAUAUUGAAAACCUCCUUGAACAGGAGGAGAUUUACUGGAUGCAACGAGGCCGCGCAGAUUGGCUUUGUCGUGGGGAUCAGAAUACUGAUUUCUUCCACCGCGCGGCAACAGGGAGAUGA
rnacentral:rRNA from 1 species